AAGACUAUAUAUGGGGGGAUUAUUUCUAUAGUUGAUUACUAGAGAAGUUUCUCUGACUAUGUAGAGUACUGGAAACCACGAGGAUAGUGUUGUAUCCCAAGCGUGAAGCUGGCUCUUGGUGUUGCUUUGCUGCAACUGCUUUUCACCAUUGAUGAUCGUUCUCUUCCUUUGGGAGAGUCAGAAGGAAAAACUGCAGUCUGAGUGGC
rnacentral:snoRNA from 1 species